GAUGAACGCUGGCGGCGUGCUUAACACAUGCAAGUCGAACGUGAGGGUGUAGCAAUAUGCCUGAAAGUGGCGAACGGGUGAGUAACACGUAGGUAACCUGCCUUGAAGCGGGGGAUAACGGUUGGAAACGGCUGCUAAUACCGCAUAUUGUGAGUGGAGUGGGAACUUCACUUGUGAAAAUUUUGGUGCUUCAAGAGGGGCCUGCGUCCGAUUAGCUAGUUGGUGGGGUAAGAGCCUACCAAGGCGAUGAUCGGUAGCUGGUCUGAGAGGACGAUCAGCCACACGGGAACUGAGAAACGGUCCCGACUCCUACGGGAGGCAG
rnacentral:rRNA from 1 species